CUUGCGUUAAUGAUGGCAGAAGCAUAAACUACAAAAUAGGGGCUUCUGUCUGAGUCUGGCAAA
rfam:Xenopus tropicalis strain Nigerian Chr01_contig_4722, whole genome shotgun sequence.